CAGCCCCGAAACACUGGUUCCUGUACGAUCAUUGAAGUCAAGCAACGUCGAGCCUGUUCAGUAUCUAGAUGGGUAACCACUUGGAAAUAUUAAGUGCUGUAAG